UACGGAGGGUGCAAGCGUUAUCCGGAUUCACUGGGUUUAAAGGGUGCGUAGGUGGGCAGGUAAGUCAGUGGUGAAAUCUCCGGGCUUAACUCGGAAACUGCCAUUGAUACUAUCUGUCUUGAAUACCGUGGAGGUCAGCGGAAUAUGUCAUGUAGCGGUGAAAUGCUUAGAUAUGACAUAGAACGCCAAUUGCGAAGGCAGCUGGCUACACGAAUAUUGACACUGAUGCACGAAAGCGUGGGGAUCAAACAGG
rnacentral:rRNA from 1 species